ensembl:miRNA
UUUACCUUCUUGUAUAAGCACUGUGCUAAAAUUACAGAAACCAAGAUAGCCUUGGUUUUUGUAAUAAUGCUAGCAGAGUAUUACACAAGAAGAAGAGGAACUGCA